AGAAUCAACGCUGGCGGCGUGCCUAACACAUGCAAGUCGAACGAGAAGGUGGAGCAAUCCAUUAGUAAAGUGGCGCACGGGUGAGUAACACGUGACUAACCUACCCUUGAGUGGGGGAUAACCUAGGGAAACCUGGGCUAAUACCGCAUAAUACCUUCGGGUCAAAGGAGCAAUUCGCUUAAGGAGGGGGUCGCGGCCGAUUAGUUAGUUGGCGGGGUAAUGGCCCACCAAGACGAUGAUCGGUAUCC
rnacentral:rRNA from 1 species